rnacentral:rRNA from 1 species
GGGAUAGCCUUUCGAAAGAAAGAUUAAUACCCGAUGGCAUAGUUCUUCCGCAUGGUAGAACUAUUAAAGAAUUUCGGUCAUCGAUGGGGAUGCGUUCCAUUAGGUUGUUGGCGGGGUAACGGCCCACCAAGCCUUCGAUGGAUAGGGGUUCUGAGAGGAAGGUCCCCCACAUUGGAACUGAGACACGGUCCAAACUCCUACGGGAGGCAGCAGUGAGGAAUAUUGGUCAAUGGACGAGAGUCUGAACCAGCCAAGUAGCGUGAAGGAUGACUGCCCUAUGGGUUGUAAACUUCUUUUAUACGGGAAUAAAGUGAGGCACGUGUGCCUUUUUGUAUGUACCGUAUGAAUAAGGAUCGGCUAACUCCGUGCCAGCAGCCGCGGUAAUACGGAGGAUCCGAGCGUUAUCCGGAUUUAUUGGGUUUAAAGGGAGCGUAGGCGGACGCUUAAGUCAGUUGUGAAAGUUUGCGGCUCAACCGUAAAAUUGCAGUUGAUACUGGGUGUCUUGAGUACAGUAGAGGCAGGCGGAAUUCGUGGUGUAGCGGUGAAAUGCUUAGAUAUCACGAAGAACUCCGAUUGCGAAGGCAGCCUGCUGGACUGUAACUGACGCUGAUGCUCGAAAGUGUGGGUAUCAAACAGGAUUAGAUACCCUGGUAGUCCACACAGUAAACGAUGAAUGCUCGCUGUUUGCGAUAUACAGUAAGCGGCCAAG